rnacentral:rRNA from 1 species
AGUGAACGCUGGCGGUAGGCCUAACACAUGCAAGUCGAACGGCAGCACAGUAAGAGCUUGCUCUUACGGGUGGCGAGUGGCGGACGGGUGAGGAAUACAUCGGAAUCUACUUUUUCGUGGGGGAUAACGUAGGGAAACUUACGCUAAUACCGCAUACGACCUACGGUUGAAAGCAGGGGAUCUUCGGACCUUGCGCGAUUGAAUGAGCCGAUGUCGGAUUAGCUAGUUGGCGGGGUAAAGGCCCACCAAGGCGACGAUCCGUAGCUGGUCUGAGAGGAUGAUCAGCCACACUGGAGCUGAGACACGGUCCAGACUCCUACGGGAGGCAGCAGUGGGGAAUAUUGGACAAUGGGCGCAAGCCUGAUCCAGCCAUACCGCGUGAGUGAAGAAGGCCUUCGGGUUGUAAAGCCCUUUUGUUGGGAAAGAAAAGCAGCAGGUUAAUACCCCGCUGUUCUGACGGUACCCAAAGAAUAAGCACCGGCUAACUUCGUG